rnacentral:lncRNA from 1 species
ACAGUUCACGCGCAGCUGAGAAGUGAGAUCACACCUUGGAAAGUUUCAAGAGGAGUGAGGAUGCCAUCUUUGUUCCUGUCGAAGAAUGACACAUGCAUCUGGAGUUCUGUCAUGUUGGAGUUGGAGCUACCACCGUCAGGUUCAGGUAGUGCCCUCACACUCACCGCGGCACCUAAAAUUAUACACAAAAGAAAGCAAGCAUCGAUAUCUGAAACUCACUGCAAGAGCCUAUUUAUCUGCCGAAUCUGCUAGCUAUUCAGCCGGUAUAGGCGUGCCAUCGCAAAAACAUCAACAAUUUGAAAGGAAUCUCAAUUGUCAAAUAGCACUAGAAGUUUUGAUACUUACAGCAAACGCUCCAUGUCAGCAGCGCAGAUGCAAUCGACAGCGAUCUCAGGGAAGCGUCCACCGGCCGCGGCUGGCGGCUCGCCAUUGUUUCCGAUCCGUCGGCGAGUUGAGCUUCUCCAGUUGUGUGUGGAUAUGUGUUGAGUGCAAUAGCAUUGGCACAUUGCUCUGCUUAAAUGGGUGCAGAGGUAUGGUAGAGUAGACGACACUAGACCAUCACUGGAAGCUGUACGUGUGGCCUGCUGCCGGCGCUUUACUGUGAGCCGAACUUGCCCCGUCCGAUUCAGGAAAGGCGCCGAAUGUGCAGCGAAAUCGGUGGAAA